GCCUGGGUGGCUCAGUUGGUUCAGUGUCUGACUUCGGCUCAGGUCAUGAUCUCCCAGUUUGUGGGUUCGAGCCCCGCGUCAGGCU
rnacentral:tRNA from 1 species